UAGUAACGGCGAGUGAAGCGGCAACAGCUCAAAUUUGAAAUCUGGCUCUUUCAGAGUCCGAGUUGUAAUUUGCAGAGGGCGCUUUGGCGUUGGCAGCGGUCCAAGUUCUUUGGAACAGGACGUCACAGAGGGUGAGAAUCCCGUACGUGGUCGCUAGCCAUCACCGUGUAAAGCCCCUUCGACGAGUCGAGUUGUUUGGGAAUGCAGCUCUAAAUGGGAGGUAAAUUUCUUCUAAAGCUAAAUACUGGCCAGAGACCGAUAGCGCACAAGUAGAGUGAUCGAAAGAUGAAAAGCACUUUGGAAAGAGAGUCAAAUAGCACGUGAAAUUGUUGAAAGGGAAGCGCUUGCAGCCAGACUUGCCUGUAGUUGCUUACCUAGACUUUUGUCUGGGGCACUCUUCUGCAGGCAGGCCAGCAUCAGUUUGGGCGGUUGGAUAAAGGUCUCUGUCACGUACCUCCCUUCGGGGAGGCCUUAUAGGGGAGACGUAAUGCAACCAGCCUGGACUGAGGUCCGCGCAUCUGCUAGGAUGCUGGCGUAAUGGCUGUAAGCGGCCCGUCUUGAAACACGGACCAAGGAGUCUAACAUCUAUGCGAGUGUUUGGGUGUCAAGCCCAUACGCGUAAUGAAAGUGAACGGAGGUGGGAACCUUAGGGUGCACCAUCGACCGAUCCUGAUGUCUUCGGAUGGAUUUGAGUAAGAGCAUGGCUGUUGGGACCCGAAAGAUGGUGAACUAUGCUUGAAUAGGGUGAAGCCAGAGGAAACUCUGGUGGAGGCUCGCAGCGGUUCUGACGUGCAAAUCGAUCGUCAAAUUUGGGCAUAGGGGCGAAGACUAUCGAC
rnacentral:rRNA from 1 species